ACAGACAACACACACAAAUACAGAGAGAGCUUUGUGGAAUUGAUAGUCUUAAUUACCUUUGUAUCAACUCAUUUGGCAAUGGCUUGAAUGUAACGGACGUUCAUUAAUAU